GACGAACCGUGCGAACGUUGUUCGGAUUCACUGGGCUUAAAGGGCGCGUAGGCGGAUGGUCAAGUCGGGGGUGAAAUUUUUCGGCUCAACCGGAAAAGUGCCUUCGAUACUGAUCAUCUCGAGGGAGGUAGGGGCAUGUGGAACUUCCGGUGGAGCGGUGAAAUGCGUAGAGACCCGGAGGAACACCAGUGGCGAAGGCGGCGUCCUGGCCUGCGACUGACGCUGUGGCGCGAAAGCUAGGGGAGCGAACGGG
rnacentral:rRNA from 1 species